rnacentral:lncRNA from 1 species
CCGGAUGACCCACAAGAACGGCCGGCCAGCCUCUACAAGCGCCCGUGCCAUUUCCUCCUUCUGUGGCUUCGAUAGCACGGAGAUGCUCCCAAACGACACGUAGAUCACCGACGCCUUUGGCUUCGUGUCCAGCCACUCCAUGUAGCCGCUCGAGCUCUUGAAGAGAUCGCCUCCGAAGGAAGUGUCUGAUGGAUCUUGGCCGUCCAAAAACGCGGACGGGAUCAGCGGCCCGAUCCCAAUCACCUCGAACUCAUUGAUAGCCCGUAUGGCAUCCGGUUCCAGCGCAUCGAAGGUGUUUGCCAGAAUCCUUGGCUUGGCCUCCUCAAGUAGUAUCUUGAAAUGCCAUUGGAAAAGCGGGAGACUGAAGUUGUACUCAUUUUUAGAAUUAAAAAAGGAGGGUAUGUCGCAGGCCAUGAGAGGCGGCAACCCUGGCAAUUGGAUUGGCACCGAAGGAUUGCCGCCCGUGCUUCGAAUAAGAUCGCCGUAGCCAUGGAAGUAAUAAUAGUAGAAGUCCAAAACAGUGGCCGGUUGAAUCCAAACGAAUGUCGAAGGAAUGCCAUGAGAACGAGCGACCUCGGCAGCCCACGGAAGGAGGAUAGUGUAGAGUACACCUGAGAAUCGCCGACCGCUCUUAAGGUUCGAGGCGAUGAGGUCACUUAAAGUCUCUGUUCCUCGUCGCUUGAUCUUGUCCAUGUAUUCCUCCAUUUCAUCCCAAUUGUCGAAACCGUCGUCGUAGCCAUCAGAGAAGCUGGCGAAGGAUAGCCCCUCGGGGAUAGAUUCCGACUCAGCCAUGCGGGGACGGGCACGAAUGGCAGUGGCGAAGGUCACGUGGGCGCCGACACGCACGAGACGCUUGGCGAAUUGGAGGGAAGGGUUUAUGUGGCCUUGGCCAGGGAAGGUCACGAGGAGGAAGUGUGGAGGUGCCAUGGACGAGGCUUGAAGAAAUUAUUUCGAAAUAGCGAUGACGCUAAGGCAACACUCGACAGGAGGUAUGGGGUAUAUGGAUGCGGGACAUUUAGCGAGUAGAUUGAGGUGGAGACUGUCCGUUAUAAAUAAGGAUGUGUCUGAAAUGAUUACGUCUUGGCUGACGAACGACGAACACCCAGUGCCGCAUGGGCCAAUAUUAAAUUGUUUGAGAAAAGUUGGCGUUCUUGGGACUAGAAGUCCAAGACAGAUGAUCAACUUUCUCUUAAGGUCAGGGCUACUAAAAAAUUUUCUUCCACAACUAUUCUUAUUAACUUUUUAUUUUCCCGAUUUUGCCUUAUCAUUUGACUGUUCAUCUUCUUUUCCAUUGAGAUUAGCUGGCGUGUUGCACAAGACUACAAGGGGCUGAUGAUAGGCUAGAUAAAAUAGCAAAUUACGAAGGCCAGCAUGCAUCCUUCCUUUCUCUAAGUGAUAUUUAAAACAAUAAAAAGCCGUGUACUUACUACUUCAUCGCAUCGCAUGAUGAAUUACGAAGUCAAUCACGAGGGUUUAGAUAUAUUCCAAAGAUGAAUGGCGAUUUAUUCAAACCUCAACAUGGUGAAGGAAAAAGAUAAUUUAUCUUUAGUCUCCACCUGAUUAUGCCACUUAUGAGACAUCUCCGCCAGGCAAAAUAACAAAGCAUACACAUUCAAACACAUCGCCAGAUUGGGUAGGAAAAGAAAAAAGGAAAAAAAAAAAGAAAGAAAGAAAUAUAUAAAAAAAUGAUUUUUUCUUAAAUUUUUAAAAAUAUUCAUGUCAGCACUAGUCAUCCAACAUAGCACAUUGGUAUCUACGUUAGUGAUUUUUUGCUCAAAUUAGCUAGAUGCAAUCAAAUAGCAAAACAUAAAAAAGUUUAGGAUUAAGUUAGUACAAGUGUUGUGAUAUCCUCAAUUUCAAGUUAUGUUUUCAAUUGAAUAAGUUGGGCUUUUCAUUGACGUACCUAUAGUUUUAUUCUCUAAGUUGACCACUCGCGAGAUAACUAGCCUAUCAAGUGAAGCCGUUAAGGAAUCUAAAUGCAAUAGACUUGAGAACUCGACUAGGAAUCGACUGCUUUACCGUGCUAAUUUGCAAGGGUCAUUACAGCACUGUCAAAAUUGAUCAGAGAUCAGAGAUAGAUUGAUUCGAUAGAGGUAUGUGAUUAGUCACCUAAUUGCAAAAUUUAUGUCGAACGGUACUAGACCGAUUUUUCUAAUCAUUUAUGUAUCCUACAUUCGUAUUUGAAACCUCAAGAUUUUUACAACAAUCGAUAGUCGCUAAUGUAUUGAAGAUAUACAAUGUGGCUCGAAAAUAAUCGACCAUGGGUCAAUUACACUAAAAAUUUCUAAAAACUACCUGAUAGGUUAGGUUAUGCUAACAUUGCGCCACAUUGAAAUUAACCGCGAAUUUAAACCCGAUUUCAGGUUAUGUCGUGUCAGGAUUCAUUUUAGGAGCAUCGACUCACCUUCCAAAUAUUUUUCUGCAAACCAAGGUUUUUGGCGAAAAUUCAAAGUAGGGCUGUUUUUGACCGGAAAUUCUGAUGAUCGUUUUUUAUCGCAUUUUUGGGAUUCAAGUUGGAUAAAUUGAUAAGAAAAAAUGUGAAUUUAAGUGUGGGCAUCUUGGUUGAAUUUAUAAGGACCAAAUUGAACUCAAUUGGAGGGGAAUAGAAGGAGAAUUGAACCAAAUUAGAUGGCCAAUGUACAAAAUUCGUUAGGCCAUGGGGGACUCAACAUUUUGGACCACUUGGAGGCUCGUUGAGGAAGCUUUGGCAGCUGCAAAAUGGCUGAGGAAGACAGCCAAGUUGGUAGGGCCAAGCACUUGAGAGCCUAAGAUAUUUUUGGUGGCCCCCUCCAUCUUCAGCAGCCUUCUUCUUCUUCUUCCCUCAGUUGCUUUCUCCAUUUGUGUACUGUUGAGAGCUUGAGGGAAACUAGAAAACCCAACCAACCAAGCCUCUAAGCCGUCCAAGCAAGUCGCGUGCUCGCAUGCUAGCCGCAAGCCCAGCCAUGUGUCCUUGCCGUCCCGCCUCCAGCUUGAGACCUGCUGCUAUCCCGAGCCAUCCUGGCCGCUGUCAAAACCUCUUGUCGUUGUUUCAAUCGCUGUUAGCCUUCGACGUUGCCCGCCUAAGUUGCUGCAGUCAUCGUCAUCCAUCUUGUGUUGUUUCAGCCCUUUCGACUGGUCCCUGCAGCCAAGAGCAGAAGCGAAAGUUCCAACAAGAGCUAAGACUUCUAGGCCCGUUUUAGGUCCCUUCUAGGCCUUCUUUGGUGUUGCCACUAGGAGGUUUGUUGCCCGUCUUUGCGUCACCGUUGCCAUGGACUCACUGGCUCACUAAUCCAGUAAGUUUACUCGCUAAACUCUGCUGAAGGAGUUAAUUAUGCUUAAAGGGUAUUUAGUUUAAGUUAAUUAGGGUUAGAUGGUUAGUUAGAUUAGAUUAGUGAUUUAAUUAUUCCAUUAUGCAUGUUGGGUGGUUAGAUUAGAUUAAUUAGGGACUAGAUAGGAUGUACUAUUUAUCUAGAUAGGUUCAUAAAUUUUCUCGACCGUUAGUAGUAUAGCAUUCGCUAGUAGUGUUUUUGUAUUGAAUUAUUUAAUUAAUUUUGGUAAUUAUUAAUAUUUUUGAAAACUAUACCGAGAUAGCCGGUGAUCAGAAUUUCAUAAUGAUUGCAAUGGUAUGCUUGGUUUAUUUAAUUGAGUGCUAAAUUGUGCAAAUUAAGUAGUGAUUGAAAUUUUGAGUAUUUAAUUCGAAAUUUGGAAGUUUCGGUAAUUAUUUAGAAAUUACUGAGCGUCGGAUUUUGACAUCGAAAAUGGUUUUAAAUACAAUAUCAAAUAGUGGGAUUUGAAAAUGAAGGGUAUCGGUUUUUCUGGUUCAAAUUGACUGUGUACCCACACACGAUUAUUUUAUCAUGUAUUUUUAAUAUGAAGAAAAUAUGCCAAGUUCACCAUUUUAAUUGAGGCAUUUAAGUGAAAUGCACGAUAUCUUGGGUCGAGCUUGAAUGGUCUUGUGUUGGUUAAGAGCACCCGUCUCGAGCUGUUGAGCUAGACGUGCCCCUAUAUGGGAUGCCCUACCAAUGGAUGCCGAUCACAGUAGAUUAUGGACUGAUACUUCUUUAUGGAAUGCUGUUGACGUAGUAACGUUACCGUGCUCGAUGGGGCGAGAUGACGCUUGGCUAUGCUAGAAGACUGCCGAACUUCGAGUAGGUCAUGCUCGUGUGUGGCCGUGAUUAACAAUUGGAACGCAUGCUGAGUGAAAUUGACGCGUCGGAUUAUGGGACAAAAUUGUGUGGCACAAAAUGAGACAUGUCAUAACGAUUUAAUCUUAUAAUCGGGAACCCUUGUGUUGUUGAGAUGAAAGUGUUGGUGGUCCAAUUGUUUAAGCAUGAAUACUAUUUAUGUUUGUAAUAUAAAUUGUGCUGACAUGUAGAAAGGAUCUGAGACGAGGUAAGUUUUUGUGAUUGUGUGGUUGUGUGGUUAGGAUGCCUUUAGGUGUAUUACCCUUCUAAUCGGGAUUUAGAGUGUGAAUUCGUUGAAAUUUAUAUCUCACCCUGUCAUAGGCUCAAUUCUUUUCAACAUCGUAGAGUGGAGGACCCAGAGUCGAGGACUGGAGAGCUUGGAGUUUAAAGUCUUCGUAGUCCCUAUUUGUUCUAGACUUCUGGACAUAGAUCUUUUGUAGUCUUUUGUAUAUGACUCGGUGUGUAUAUAAAAGUGUCACGCCUCGAUCCUCUAAGCACGUGUAGUCGAUUAAAUAGCGACGUCCCAAGAUGCAUCGCCGACCCAUUCAUUUUAUAUGCACACGCGGAAGCAAAUAAAUAAUCCCCAUACAAUAACAUAAUGGGAUAAGAAAGUAGGGCUAUAAUUUUGAAAACCAACAUCACACUUAUAUAUACACAUUGGAGCCUCGUCCUCGUCUCCAUCAUCAUUGACACUCUAAUUGGAGCCUUCAGCAGAAAACACUAGACUUCCGGGAUCUUUAAAAUCCGAGUCUACUACGUCUACGACCAAGCCUUGAGGAGGAUUUGCUGUGCGCUUUCCAAAAGCAAUAUCCAGCACAUACAGAGGUAUCUCAGAUUUUGGUAUGGAACCCUCUCUUUGGCCAUCCUGAGUCUGGUGAUACCAUGAUUUGUAUUGGUAGGGCACCUUGUGGGUGAGACCCGCAUCGACCAAAACUAUGGACCUUACCAAUUCAUAGGUCUAGCCCCUAGGGCUCUCAUGCAACGGAAUGUAAGAUGUGUGACAUCUUGAAUUUCAAGUUCUGAUUUCGAUCGAAAUAGUUGGGCAUUUCAUUGACGCACUUAUAGUUCUUUUCCCUAAACUGAUCGCUUCAUGGGAUUACUAGUUUAUCAGGUGAAGCCGUUAAGGGAUUCUAACGCAUUAGACUUGAGAAUUCGACUAGGAAACGACUGCUCGAUCGUGCAAAUCUGUAAGAGAUCAUAAUGACACAGUAAGAUUGAUUAGAAAUCGAAAAUAGGUCGACUUGAUAAAGGUAUGUGAUUAAGUGUAGGCGAUUCCACCUAAUUGCACACUUUUUGUCGAUUGGCGUUAGACCGAUUCUUCUGUCGUUUUGAUACCCUGUGUCCGUAUUUGAAACAUUGAGAUUUCUACGAUAACCGAGAGUCGCCAAUGUGUCGAAGAUGUAUUUUGUAGCUUGAAAAUAAUCAAUCAUAGGUCAAAUAUACUAAAAUUCCUAAAAGCUAUCCGAUAGAUUAGGACGCGUUAAAUUCGCGCCGAAUUGAAAUUAACUGUGAAAUUGAAAUCGAAUUCAGAAAUUGGAAGUCCUAUUAUGUCACAAAUCAUUUUAGGAAUGUGAAUUCAUCUUCAAAAGAUUUUUCAUGCAAAACGAGUUUUUUCGAAAUAUAAUCAAAGUAUGAUUAAUUUGGUUCGGGAAAAAUUAGUAAGCCCGCUUUUGGUCGUACUUUUGGGCUUCAAGAUAGUUCUCUGGUCAAGUAAAGAUGUUGAUUAAAGUGUGGUGACAUUGGAUUAAUUUUAUGGAUUUCAAUUUAACUCAAUUCGAAGGAAAUUAAAGUAAUGUGAUGUACAAGAUUUGCAAGAUUCGUAUGCCACGGCGGAGGAAGAAAUUUGACCCAUUGAAGAUAGUUAUGGAGGAUUUGAGUUAGUGGAAGAUGACCUCAUGUAAUGUCAUGGUGGUUCGGACCAAAGUGAAGAGGAUUUUGACAAGUAUAGAGUGUUGAUUUGCUUUAAAAAAGGUGGGCUAUCAACAUCAUCUUCCUCCUUGAAUCAAGAGAGUCUUGGAACUUGGAAUGGAGGGAGGGGCAUCAUGCGAACUAGGGAGCUUCGGCUAUGCCUUCGUCCGCCUGACUGACCGUUGCCAGCAUCGCUGGAGCUGUCGUCGUUGUCGUCGUUCGCACGCUCACUUGCCGGCUAGCUCGCCACUCUGCUCGGCCUUCAUCCGCGUGCCAACCAGCCGUCAUCCAAGCCAUCCCAGCAGCUGCUCGCCAUCGCCAGAGUCUCCAUCGCACCUGUACAUCGCCGUCCAGCAUUGCCCAAGCUGCCGUCGCUCGUUUUCGCCGAUCCCGCGCCCAACCGGUGACUGGAGCACCUCCGACCGAGCUUGGACAAUAGCCGGAGUUCCAAGCUAGAUCCGGAUCUUGAAGGUUCGUUUUGGAUGCCUUUCGAUCUUCUUUUGGUGUCGCCCCGAGGAGGUUUUUUGACCGCCUCGCCGUUGUGUUCACCAGGAACUCAUCAGAAAGCAAUUUCGGCGAGUUUAACCUCUUAAACCUUGAUUAGAGGGUUAAUGAUGCUUUAGGGAGGUUUAGUUUAAGUUAAUUGAGAUUAGGUUAUUAGUUUAGUUUGGUUAAGGCUAAAUUGAUGUUUAUGUUAGUAUAAUGAUGUUUUAGCUUUAAUUGAUUAUUUUUGAAUAAAUAAAUAUUUCGAAAUUAUUUAAUUAUUUAAUAAUAAUUUAUAUUAUUUACAAUUAUUAAAAAAUUAUUAUUUAAUUAAUUUCGGAAUAAAUUUAAUUAUUUAAUAAAUCCAAAAAUUAUUUCGAGACCUUAAAUUGUCAUAAUUUCGUGCUGAUUGCAGUGGUACUUUCUGUUUAUUUAUUUGAGUGUCGGUUUAUGAGAAUUGAGUGAAUUAGUGGUUAUGAGAGAAUUAUCCCAAAAUUUGAGAAUGUUGGUAUUUUAUGGGAAAAUGACUAUGAAAGAUUGUGAGUGGACUUAGAAAACCACUGAAGUAUGGUCAUGCCAAUAGGGCCGAGAUUUACCACCGAAUUUGGAAUCAAUUGUGCCCAUCAGGCCAUGAUCUACCACCUAUUAAAGGUCGUGCCGAGUGGGGCCGUGAUGCCACUAAUUCUAAAUUUGCCGAAUGGGGCCGUGAUUCCACUAACUCUAAGAAUUGCCGAGUGGGGCUGUGAUUACAACUAAAUUUAGAUUUGCCUGUAGGGCCGUGUUUAAGGGUCGAGAAUGAAAAGUUAGAAUGAUCGUGUGAUGACUUUGAUGACAUGUAAUUGAUUGAGUCGAUUGAUCGCUAAGUCGAUUCGAGUAAUUGAAUUGUUUGAAUUCUAUUACUGUAUAUGCUUGAGUAAUGUGAACUGUGCUAACUUGCAGGAAGGAACUGAGGCAAAGGUAAGUCUUAUUGUUUGUGAUGGUGUGGCUAGGCCAUACUCGAGUGUAUUUUCUUUCUAAUAGGCGUUUUGGGGGGGGGGGGGGGGGGUGAACUUACUGAGACAAUGUCUCACCUCGUCGUGGGCUCAACAUUUUUAGGUCCUUAGAUGGCGGUCAUGGAGGACUCGAAGCCAUAGACAUUUGUGGAGGUGGAGAUCGAAGAAUAGGCGAAUGUGUUUGACUAGUUGGUUGUAGGACAGUUCCUUUUUUGUUGAGCCGGUCUAUUUUGUAGCCAACCCUGUGUUGUAUAUAAACAUGUGUGUUUAUAAGAAAACCUAUUUGGUUGCGAUUGAUUGCUUGCUUUUCUAUCCCAAGUUAAAUGUUGUCAGGGGAUUUGUUUCGCUUUCGUAUGCAUAAAAUAAAUGAAUGGGUCGGCGACGCGUCCUAAGAAGUCGCAUUUUUUGUAUCAACUUGAGUGGGAUGUUUGCAUGCUCGAGGUUCGGGAUAUGACAAGAUGUCUGUUCUAUAACCUUCUUAGGCUGUCUAAAAAACUCAGGAGGAGUUGCCAUCUAUAGACCUGAAAGGUUAUCCCACAAUGAGGUGAGACGACGUCUCAACGAGUUCAACUUCCUAAGACUUGACUAGGAAGAAAAUAUGCCCUAAAGGCCGCCUAAGCAUAAACAUAGGUCGGAGAACUUACCAUUGCCCCAGUUCCUUCCUACAAGUCAGUAUUUUUCAUAGAUACACGAAUCACAUCAACUAAUCAUACGAAUUCAUCGAAUCAGAUCGAAACAUCGAUCAAUCGACUCAGUCGAUUACAUGUCAUCACAACAUUCUCUCGGUCGGCCAAAUCAAUACUAUCUAUGAAGUCUGAUCAUAAUUAGGACUGCUCUCUCUAAGCUGAUAAAUAGAUAGUAUAAUUUGCGCUAAGCUGAUAACUAAUAUACUGCUCUUUAUCUAAGCUGACAUAUCAAGGCCCUCAGGCUGAUAUAAUAUACUAACGUUGUUCACUCUAAGCUGAUAGAUAACAUUGCUCAUUCUAAGUUGAUAAGUAGCAUUGCUCACUCUAAGUUGAUAAAUAACAUUACUCACUCUAAGUUGAUAAAUAAUAUUGCUCACUCUAAGUUGAUAUGGUAUACUACUCUCGAUCUAAGCUGAUAUAUCAGAGCCCGUGGGUUGAAAUAGUAUACCACCUUGACCAUCUAUUCAAUUUACCAUUUUAAUCAUACCCGAUAAAAAUACUCGUGUGUGGGUACACGGUCGACUUUAACCAAAAUACAAUAUUUUUACUUUUGAACAUUCCGCCAAUCGGCAGUCCCAAAAUAGAUUUUUGGCGCUAUAGACUAACGUUCGGUAAUUUUCCAAUUAAUUACCAAAAUUAUCAAUUUUUAAGAUAAAUACCUGCAAUCACCAAUCACAUUUAAUUUACACAAAAUAACAAUCAAUAAAAUAAAUAGAUCACACCACUGUAAUUAGCAUGAAAUUCCGGUCACCGACUAUCCCGGUCUAAUUUCCAAAAAAUAAUUAAUUAAUUAAAUAAUUACGAAAAAUGAUUAUUAAAUGCCAAAAAUAACAACUUAGGCCAGAAAAGCCGAGACGGGCUUGGAAAGUUUUCGAAACUGCUCUAGAUAAAUACUAGAGCUUGUCUAGGCUCUAAUUACACUAUUUUAACCACCUAAAAUGCAAUAACAAUUCAUUAAAUUGCUAAUCUAGUCUAAUUAUUCACUUAAUCCAUACUUAGUCUAAACUAAUCAACCCUUAAACGUCAUUAAAUUACUAAGCAAGGAUUAGUGAGUUAAACUCACUUGUUAAGUGAUCUGCUCGGAUCAAAACGAUGAGGACACAGCAAGGGGCGAGAAACACCAAAGUGGGACCGCAUUUUGAGGUCCAGAAAGGCUUGAACUCAGGCCCGACAGCAACUUGGAGACCCACUAGACUCUGCUUCUAUUCUUGGCCGAAGAGGGGUUGCUUCGGUGGUUGAACUGCGAAACAAGAGCGGCGGAGGUAGUAGGGGUGCUCGGUGGGGCUUCACGGUGGUAGGCAGGUGACCUAGUAGCUUCGGCAACAAUGGAGCAAGUUUGAACAGCUCUAGAGGUGGCAUGGGCUCAUGGCUAAGGUGGAAUGAUGGCAUGGAAUGACAAAGAUGCAUGCGGGCAGGGCGAACGCGCGACGGCCAACGACGGCGACUUAGCGAGUUGACGGAGGAUGGACAGGCGUGCAAUGGCCUCGGCGGCUUGCUGGCUCUGCUUUCUAGUUUCUGGGCUUCAAACAGCAGCUGAGAUGGAGUGCUCGAUGGGUGAGAGGAGAGAGAGGAAGGAGGGAACCGGUUUUGGCAUGGAUGGGCCACUAAUGACCUCAUCUCAUCUCUUUGUACCCCCUCCUUUGGUCCCCACCACCAGCUGGCCUCCACAGCUGUAUUUCCAAACCAAAAUGCCCACUUCUAGAAGCUUGAGUUGGUCCAAAGGUUGGGUCCAUGGGGGCACACGUAUUUCACUUGAUUUCUCUCCAAUUGGACUUUAAUUCCCUUUUGAAUCAAAUCAAUUUGGCCUCUAAAAAUUCAACCAACAAGCUCACAAUCAAAUUGGUAUUUUUUCUCGCCAAUUGAUCCCACUUGCAUUCCAAUUUCACGAUAAAAAACGGUCAUCUACACUUUCUAAUCGAAAAUGGCCUUAUGACGACUUUUUUCACCAAAAUCUCAGCUUACAGAAAAAUCUUUAGAGACUAAGUCAACAUUCCUAAAAUGACUUGUUAUAUGACAAAACUUUCAAUUUUUGAAAUCGGAUUUAAAUUUAUGGUUAAUUUCAAUCUGGCACAUUUUUAGCGUAACUUAGGCUACCGGGUAGCUUUUAGAAUUUUUUUAGUGCAAAUGACCCGUGAUCUAUUUUUUUUUUCGAACCACAAUGAACCUAUUUGACACAUUAGCGACUCUCGGUUGUCGUAAAAAUCUCGAUGUUUCAAAUACGAACACAUGGUACCAAAGCAACAGAAAAAUUAGUUUAGUGCCAAUCAAUGAGGAUUUUGCAAUUUAGUGGAAUCACCCACGUUUAACCACACAUCUCAAUCGAAUCGACCUAUCCUUGAUCUCUAAGUGAUUUUUAACUGUGCCGUAAUGAUCUGUGUAGAUGAGCACGGUUGAAUAGUUGAUUCUUGAUCGAAUCCUCAAGUCUAUUUCAUUAAAAUCUCUUAAUGACUUCCCCAGAUUGUCCAGUUAUCUCAAAAGUGAUCAGCUUUAAGAAUAGCACUAUAGGCGCGUCGAUGAAAAGCCUAAAUUGAAAACAAAGUGAAAUUUCAGGAUGUCACAAAAAGAGUGUUUGUUUGUGAAUCUGUUUUUCUUGCUUUUCUAUCCCAAGCUGUUUACUGUUAGGGGAUUUAAUUAUUCGCUUCCACAUGUGUAUUAAAAUGAAUGAGUCGGCAACGCGUCUUGGAAAGUUGCAAAAUUUUAUCGACCACUGAGGAAUGGGCAUGUGCUCGAGGUUCGGGGUGUAACAAGUGUAAUAGGUUUAUAACUUUUUGGGUAAUUUUCCACAACAAUAUAUCUACUGUACAAACAUUUGGUCGUUUGGUUUAGUUUUGGGGAUAGUGUAUGGGAAAAUGUAAAGGUUUUUAGGCUAAAAGGGUUUUUCGAAAUGCAAGUGGUGCUUGGUAAAGUGUAUUUUAAAAAAUACAUUGGAAAACAAAUUUUGACGUAAGUGUCGUUUGGUAAAACUACACUUUGUAAAAGAUUUUGGGCAAUUUUUUUUUUUUAAAUAAAAAACUUCAAACUAUUUGCUAGUAGAACUCAACUAACCUUGGUGAACUAAAUCAGCCACUGGUCAUUUGUCGGCCACAAACCGGCCACUCGCCAGUUGUUUAUUGAUGGCCAGGCAAUGUUAGAGACUUUGAACACAUUUCUAGAAUUAUGAAAUCGAGUAAGUUAAAGUUGGAAGAAAUUUAUAUUCCAAAAAUACAACAUUUCAAAUAAUCUCUGAACCUGCCUAUGCCUUUAGAUAGCUUUGGAGAUGCAAUUGCAUAUCCCCAAAGCAGCCUAAAUUGUUUUUGCCAAAUGGCAUUUACAUUUGCCGAAGGGACUUUGGGGUGUCAAAGAUUGAAAAUUUUGAACCAAAUGUACCCAUUGAAAUACUCUCAAAUUCACUAUUCUCGAACUCCUAGUACUAAUUUCUCUUCUAUCUAUCUGUAGCUACUAUGGUGAGAUAGUAAUCUAGAAGUCCAUAGACGAUGUCCUCUUUCUCUCCGUGACCUACCUAGCUCAUAACCAUAAUAGGGUCAUUGACUUCAAGCGGCUUCUACUUCCAACUCACUAUGAGAACGUGGUAGACUAUGGCUGCACAUGACAAAAUUUCUGAAACAUAAAUUGAUUUCUAGCUAGAAAUCAAUUUCUUAAUUUCUAUUCCCCGGACAAGUUUCUGAGCAAAGAAACCCGUUUGAUAACAACUCAAAAUUUCUAUUUCUGAAACAGAAAUCCGUUUGAUAACAGAAUAAAAUUUAUAUUUCUAGGAAUAGAAAUUAAUUAGAUAACAACAUAGGAAAUCCUCAAAUACAAAAUAAUAGUCGAAAUAAUACUAAAACAACAUAGGAAAUCCUCAAAUACAAAAUAAUAGUCGAAAUAAUACUAAUACAUUACAAAAGUUGAAAAUACAAUUUCAUGAAAUUUCUGGCAUAUUAUUAUCCCUUGUCAUUUUAUUAGCAAUUGUUUUCCUAAGCGUAUUUAUUUGGUUUCCCUCCUCGGUUAAUGUAUCGUUUGCAAGCUCAUCCUACGUAGGUUCAGAUAAGUACUACGGAAGCAUGAAUAUGAGUGCCAUCAAUGGCGCCUAUACAGCUUUGUCAUUUUAUCAAAAACUAAUAUUAUACAAUAUUAUCAACAAAAUAAAAUUAAUGGUGUAAAGGAAUAUAUGAGAAUUCUACCUUAAAGUAACAUUUAUGGUUAGGAACCAAUCGGGGGAAGGUCGGUUUAUUUUGAUUCUUGAAUUGAAUCAGUCCAGUUGCUCAUUCCUAAUUUCUUUAUUGUUGCUCAAUGAACCUUUAAUGGCUCUUGCAUAGAAAAGAGAGAGAUUCUCUUGAAUCUCUUGCCUUCGAAUUAAAAUUCAAGAUUGUCUAACAAUCUAAUUAUUUUGAUUUUGCAAGAAUUUUGAAUUCGUCAAAAAAAAAAAAAAGGUUAAAUUUAUAGGCACGUUUUUAUUCAUCUAUUAUGUAAGAAAUUUUUCUUCAACUGGCCAUAUGCGUGCUUUUUCUAGAAGGAAAGAGCCCCAUUGUUUUUUCUUGUUUUUUUUUUUUUUUGGUAAAAAGAAAAUAGCCCCAUUGUUUUUAAGUAAGCAUUAAGAACUUUGGUCAUUUUUUAAAAUUGGGGACUCAUUCGAUUACCUUUCAUCCUAAAAAGGAAGUUAUCAAAAAAAUUGAAAAAAGAAAAAGAAAAAAAAACACAAGCAAAAUAAGAAAAAGAAAAUUAGCAAUAAUUUGUGUAGUUGUGGUUAUGAGUGAAUUAAGUUAGUAAGAAAGCGCAAGGUUCUUUUAUAUGGUUUGAUUUCAGUUUCUGAUUUCUAUUUCAGAAAUUGAGAAGUUAAAAAUUUCAGCUUCUGAUUUCUUCAAUUUCUCUAUCUCUGGAAUAGAAAUCUGUUUCAGAAAUAGAGAAAUCAAAUUGCGUUACCAAACGGAUUUCUGUUUCAAACAUGUUCCGGGGAAUAAAGAAACAGAGAAAUCGAGAAACAGAAAUUUUGUCAUGCGCGCCCUAUACUGUUGUAUCAAAAAAUAUUUCCAUGUCAGUGUAUGUCCCAUUAUUAUUAUUAUUAUUAUUAUUAUUAUUAUUAUUAUUAUUAUUAUUAUUAUUAUUAUUAUUAUUAUUAUUUCAACACUCAAGUUAGGAACGUGCUAGUACGCAGAAAUGAAAAAUAUAAUCAACGUGCAGUAUCUAUUAUAUUCAAAUAUAUAAUAUAUAAUUGCUUGAUAUUCCAAGUUCAAUCAAAAUUAAUGAUAAUACGAAUAGGUAGUGCUGCUAAUUAAUCCUUCAAAUAACAUCAGGUUCUACAAACCCACCAGAGUUAGCGUAAUUGAUUGUCGCAUAAGGGCGAUUUCCAGAUCAGAAAUUAGAAGUGAUGUAUUUAAAUUACAAUUACUGCGUGCAAAUAGCUUUAGGUUGAGAUCACCUCCACAGAUCAAAGAUUUGGACUUAAUUGGGUUCAUAGGCUUACAAGGUUUCCUCGAAUCUCCAGGUUUUUGGCUCUCUUCAUGAUCCUGGAUUAUUAGAAAAAUAAUGGGCUACAUCUAUCUAAGUGAGGAAGACACAUAUAGCCUGGUAAGUAUUGCAUGUACCAAUUGGUAUAUGAUACAUAUAACUAGCGGAUGGGGGAAAUGAUACAUUUGUUAUCAUAAUGUUAUCUCCGUACUUUAAAAUGUGGUUUGAUAUGGUCUAUUCAUUAGAAUGAUUAGGGAAAUCUCCUGACAUGGACGAAACAUUCCAUUCAGUUUACGAUUUAUCAUAGUUUUUGUUCAAUUUUGUUCCCAUACUUUUUUUAUUUGUUCAAUUUAGUCCACAAGUUAUUUUUUAUUCUCUCUAUAUUGCAAAAUGUCAAAUUUAGAUUUUACCCCAACACAAACAGUUUAUUAAUUACUUCAAAUUUAAAUAUAAUCCCAACACAAAAAAAAAUUAUUAAUUAUGUCAUGACACUAAAUCCCAAAUACAACACAUACAUUUAAUUGAUUAUCCAAUUCAAAGCAUUUAAAAUAUGAUAGAUAAAGAUGCUUGUGUUUACAAGUUGCAAGUAUAUCUAAAUGAGCCAUGCUUUUUUCACUCCUUUGAUUUAGACACUCCAUUUUUUGUGUUUUGACCAUAUUUUCCCUUAUGUGGUCCACUAUUUUUGUCACAACUUUAAAAAUAUGAUCCUUUUUUUUUUAUCAACUUUUUAUUUAUUUAUUUAUUUUGUUUCUUCUUUUUUCCUUACAAGUCUCACUUUCCUCUUUCUUUCUUUCCAUGCCUUCGAUGAUGUCUCAGUUCUCGGCUCUUGUCAAUCAUCUCUCUUUUUUUUUUUUUUUUUUUCUUGCAGGUCACUCUCUUCUUUCUACAUUUUACUAAUCCUCAAGUUGUAACACAUUGAGAAUGAUGCCAAUCCCGUUGUUCUCUACACUUUUGCUGGCACCGACAUUGGGGCCACUGUUCACCUCCCCAGUGAGAAUUUUCUCUAAUGCUUCCAUAAAAUCAUGUAUGAUAUGAUCAUGAAGCAAAAAAUAUAAUUCGCUCUAUAAACUUGAAGGGAGUUUUGUAGUUUGUUACCAUUAAAUAUUUUUACAGUUGAUUGCCUAGUUCAUAUUAGAAUUGAAAAUCAUAUGUCUAUAGGGUUUUUGUUGUUUUCUCUACUGCUCCUUUUAUAGCUAUUAAGAGUCGAAUUCAUGGUUGUUGGCAGUUUUAUUUAAUAUCUAUGGGAAGGCUCCAACGAACUGAUUCAAUUUGUCCUAAUAGAGCAUGUUCUCGAGAGCUUUUGUCUCUCAUAUUCCUUGAUUUUCCUGUGUCUCAUUUGUCUAGAUAGUAACCAUGGUUUGGAUCGCAUUCCAUCUUCAAAAAUCUAAAGAUGCUUGUAGCUAAAAUCUGAAGACUGGUUUUUCUAUUGGUCUUAUUGUCAUAGUUGACAACAAGAUGUUACCAUAAUUGACCCAAAUAUGAAAACCAAAAGUCAGAACUUUGCUCGGAGUGAGAUCCACUAGGAUCCUCUGUUCUCAUGAUGAAAGAAGAUAAUGGCCUACUAGAGAGAAAAUGGAGAGAGGAUUUGCAAGAGUCGAGAACUGAGAUGUUAAAUGUGUGGAAAUAAAGAAGAAGAAGGAAAGUGGGCCCACAAGAAAAAAGAAGUAACGAAAUAAAAAAAAGUUGAUCAAACAAAAAAGGGACCACUUUUGUAGAGCUAUAACAGAAGUGAUAGGAUAUACAAGGAUAAUCCGAUCAAAACACACAAAAUAAGGGAUUGUCUAACUUAAAGGAGGAGUGGCAAAAGCACCGCUCUUUCUAAACGUAUCUAAACGUGUCGUGUUACACACAAGGAACAUUAUUGAACAAGUCCUAAUGUGUCAUAAACGGUAAAAGGAUCCAUUUAUAGUAAAAAUAUUUAUUCUUCAUCAGGAUUAACCUUAUGUGAACACAUUAAUGUGUGUCAAAAAGUUGUUUUCAAAAUUACGAUUCCUAAAUAAGGGUCAUUAAGGUUUUUUUUUUUAAAGAAUAUUUGAUGACCCUCACUAUGUUCAAAUUGAGGCUAUUAUUAAAGAGAACAACUAGUUUAAGGACGGAAUUUAAAGGACAUAUGAAGUUAAAGGAUGGAAUUGAACAAAAAGUAGACAAGUUCAUAGCUCUAAUGACCAUCUUAGCAAGUUUCAUUAAAUCUUUAAGGAAAGGAGCACAUUGAACAAAAAUUGGAAAGUUCAGAAAUAAUAUUGAAUGAAAAAACUUCAGACAUUGAAUAAUUUAGCAAACCUGAAGGACUAAUGUUACCCUUAGUGGAUUAUAGAUAUGUUAUGUCUUUCAUAUUGAAAUUUUCAAAUGAUGUUAUAGAGGCCAACCGCAUCAAACUGACGAUAUACAUGUUAAAUGAAAGCUAUUAGCAACUCAUAGUUUUUAUUUUUGUUUCAUAAUAUUCACAAGGAAAUUAGAGCUGCGCAAUUGCCGAAUGCCGAAAUCUGAGUCAUAUUAUAGCCCAGAGAAUGGGACUCUAGUAUAAUUUGAUGAGUUGUGCUUGCAUAACGUUGCAAAUUGAACCCUCUAUUGCGUUCCAUUCACAAUGGGCAACCGAAUCACUAAAAAUUCAUUGAUUCAGCAUGUGUAUAAUUUUUAAAGAAACAAAUCCACUGACAUUACUCGAUAAAAAUAAAUCCAUGAAGUAAUCGACCAUAGAUUUUAGGGGUGGAACAUUGACCAAAAUUAAAUAAAUUAUACUUACGAAUUUAUAAAUAAUGUAGAUACACUGUUCAAUUUUUUUUCAAAGAUUUUUCACCGUACGGUCGGUUAUGGACUUGAGUUUCCACGGCAUCACUUUGUCACUUCGUUACGGUCGUCGCUCUAGACAGCAAGCUUUCAACCGCAUAAUUAUUGCAUCCAGCCGUCGUUUCGCACCCCAUUAAAGAGAUUGUCGCCAGAGAAUCUCCACCUCUUUAUUUUCGAUGGUGAAAUGAUGCCCCCCACGGCCGUUGUCACUACAUACGUGCCACAAUUUUCGGGCUUCGAUGCCAACUAACGCAUGGAAAAAAUAAAGGCAUGUGUGAACUCAUAGACGAAACUCGCAAAACGUACAUGCACCGGUAGAUAAAGGGAGCUGUCAGGCUUUCGAUAAAUUCAAUGAUAAUCUGAAAAAGAUCACAUCAUGUAAUAAAGAUUCUGAAAUUUCUCCAAUAAUAGAUGAAAAAUAAAUUGUGGUAGUCGCCGCUCCACAUGUCCAAUUUUGUUCAUGAGUACUAGCAAUUGGGCUCUUAUGUUUUUGUAUUGUGCAUGAAAUUGACAUUUAGUUUAUCAUGAAAUAUUUGGAUCAAUAAAUAAUUCAAAGAAACUAGUGAUAAGAAUAGACUGCACUAAUAUGUGGAAAGGUAAAAACAUUUUAAGAUGUGACAUCUUUUAAGGAAAGUUAUGCAAGAUAGAAUAUAUCCAAAUUUUAACAUUGAAAUACAUAGAAAAAUAAUAAUAUAUACUUACGUAUUUGUCCAGGUAUAAAAAUAUUUGUAAACAAAAUAAUUAAGAUAUUUGGAAAAGAGAAAAAUGAUUGAAAUCUCUUAAAAAAGGAGAUCCUCCUUACUUUAUAUAAAAGUAUAGAUGGAUAUAUUAUUUUGAGUCCCACUGGCCUAAAAACAAUAUUAUGCUGAGUUUAUGACGAAGCUCUUGUGAUCACAGAUCUUACACUAUGGUAGAUGGACAAAAUGGAUUGUGAAAAGGCUCGUGGGAUGACGGGUGUAUCUGAUGUUAAUCUGAUUUUUAUUGUUUCCUUUUUUUUUUCUUUUUUCUUUUUUAUCAAAACGAAUAGUAGGAUUUUGCUAGAUAACUCCAUCCCACCCAAACGGGUUUUUAAUACCGCAAGCAGAAAACCAGACAAAUUUACUAUAUGGCCUCAAUCAUAAAUUGUACGGUGGAAAGAAUAGUUCAUACUGAAUUUUUGUCACAAGAUUAAUAAAUCUGAGUCUGAUUAUAGCUUCGUUCUGGACUUGGUUUCAGUUUGGAUUGUGUCAGAGUGGGCAAGACUUAUAGAACAAAUAGACUUUGACAAGAGUCUAUGAUAUGACUUCAGAAGUCUUCUAUUAUUCAGAAUAAGAACAAGAACAAUAAAGUUUUGUCAACUUUAAAACCUGGUAGGAGUUUUAUCAACAAUCUCCAUCUUUUUUAUGGUGAGAAAGCUUUCAUGUAUAUUUAAGCAUAAUAUAAAAGUUAUCCUACAAAACAAAACUUUAGCAGCACAUGAUAAUUGAUAAAGAUAAUAGAUAGUAAGCACAAUAAAGUCUGCAUAAAUCUGCACAAAAUACACAUAGUCUGUACUCACAAGAAACACACCAACCAAUAGUCUGCAUAAAAUACACAUAUUGGAAUGUGUCUCUAAGCCCCCGUAUAUUUACACUAUGAUAACCAGGCUAUCUUCCACAUUGCUGCCAAUCUAGAUUUUCACGAGCAAAUAAAAUACAUUGAAAUUGAUUGUCAUCUCGUUCGUUAAAAAAUUCAAGCCAUGCUCAUUUUUCCAUUGAAGAUUGGUACGGACUCACAACUAGCUAACAGUUUACCAAACCACUAGGCCAAGAUCAGUACAUGUGGCUAACUACUUUCCAAGUUCGGUGUCCAUAUCUCACAUGCAGUAACUUUAGGGGGAGGCUUGGCGUGAUCAUAUGCCACCAGGGCAUACUUAUUUUAUGAGUAGUUUUAUAUAGGAAUAGAUUUAGGAAAUAUAGUUGUGAAUGGUGUAUAAAUAUGUACAUUUAAAAUACAAGAAAUAUUGAAUCGAUUUACAUUGGCAUCUUGCAUUUUGUAUCCUUUCUCAUGAUACCACCCCCAUCACUUGCUGCCAAUUUCAGUUCAGUCAGGAAAACUAACAGGUUGAGAGUGAAUGGCUUCCACAUAUUUCCCCAUGUUGUCCCGACGGAUUAAUGCGGAACCUAUGGAGGAAGCCAAGAUGUCAUACAUUUUGGACCGUUUGAUUUUGUGGUCCAUAUCUUCGCCGUCAAACAUUGAUGUCACUGACACCAAUCGUAUCAGCUUCUAUUCAACUUCAAAAAAUGCGUAAAUCUCCUCUUCCGAAAUCAAAUCCAUCAUUUUCUUCUCCUUCGAAGCCUCUUCUACUGCGAUAGAACGGUUGGCUCGAGCACUCAGCCAACAUUGUUGUUCCCACACCUGACCUUCAUCUUAGGCGCACUAAUCGCCUUCUGCCUCUUGGUGUAGAUUCACUAUGCCACCCAGGACUUCCAUCCCGAAGAUCCCCACGACCUCCAGCGCUGCGGGGGGUGAGGGCAAGAUCCUGAAUGACCUCCAGGGGAAAUACCAAAUUCUAGGCAACUCUACCUAGACUGUCCUGACUGCGGGGGGUUGACUUGCACUAUCUAAGCCGGCUACAAAGGCGUCUACGUAGAGCAUCUUAAGAUUUGCCUCUCAUUUAUAAAGAUAAUAGAGAGGAAAAGUGAAAAAAGAGAAUUUGAGAUUCAAGGUUUUAUUCUAGUUUAUCCUUAAACUAAAGCUACUUUAGCUGAGCAAUCCACUAUAUAUAUAUCCAGUUAUUAUUCAUGAGCCUAAAUUCAAGUUAUGAAUAAAAAAAUGAAUUCAAACUAUAAAAGUCCACUGACGUCGCGAGAGCACUGCCCCCUUACGAUUCUCUUGCCAUUCUGUCAACAAGGAGUAAGGACCAUACCCCAAUAGCUGCCGGAAUUGAGUUUCUAUACCUUUCACAUCUAGGUGACAUGUUCUGUGCUAGUUAAUCUUUUGCCGGGUCAACUUACCCCUAAUGCCAUUUGAUUCAUAAUAGGCUUCAUUCUUGUCUUCCACCAGGCCAACAAAGUGUACUCCAUGGCGGUCUUUAUGAACAUCUGUAGACUGACUCAGGUGGCCGGUGAAAGAGGCCGAUGGCAGUUCUCUCCUUGGCACCACAGGGCCCCUUUCAUCUCUAAGUAUUCUUCCUCCGAUUUCGAGGAAGAAAUGGCUACACUUGGAAUCUCCUUGGGCAAUGGGGGUCUCGGUGGAGUUCUUUGUCUUCAAUGAGCACAUCCCCGUGUUAAAACAUUAACUUGCAUCCCUGCCGCUUUCAGAUUCGUAUAAACCUAGGUCCUCUCGUCUCCCUCAACAACCUCCUCCAUAAACCCCAACCCACCUUGAAACCACGACCUGUUGUAACACAUCGAAGUUCAAGACAGAAGAAGAACAGAGAAUUUUCCAGUGCUUCUGCAAUGGAUACGUUUUUAGCAUCUAUGUGGAAACGGUAAGUCCCACCAUCAAGAUUCAAGACUAAGCGACUCAAGCGUCGGAUAUGAUUAGCUGAAAUAGAGAGAGUAUGGUGCGACAUUUUUAACAUGCUGAGAUUCUCACCAACUCUCCAGUCCACCAAACAAAAUAGGGAAAAAGAUCGCGAAACCUAUAAAUAAAAAAAUUGUCCAAAAACAACGAGCUUCAACGUAAUGCCCAAACGAAGGUUAUAUUAAAGACAUAUGACCAAAGUAUUCUCUAUAAAUUUCAAAGAAAACAACAAGCAAGCACUGCAUUUAGCUGCUGACACCAUAGAUGAUUCACAGACAAGCCUCUCUGACCUCGUCCACGAAGGCCCUGAGGUUCAUGUCCGUAGAAUCCGCCUUCCUUCACAGCCUCCCUUGCCAAAUCUCUUAAUUUCUGGGCAUUCCUUCUCCCCUCAUCUCCCUCCUCUCCAUCUCCCAUCACCGACUCCAAGCACCUACUUUUCUCGCCGCCUUCCACCAGGCUGCCUUAGCUCGUUUGGUGUCACCUUCACUCCGGUCCUCCAUACGUCUGCAACAAGCUUCGCAUUUAUCUGCUGAUCGCUCCACUGCGGAAAUGUCAAUAAUGGCAACCCAAAGACCAAGCUUUCCUAGGUCGAUUAAAUUCCAACACAUUUUGUGUUUGUACGGUCCUGUUAAAAUCGAAGCCAUUGGUUCCUUUCAUUUAUGAUAUUUUCUAUUCAGAAUUUAUACAAAAAUCCGGUUUCCUUAAAUUAAAUAAUCCAAAAAACAACUCUUGGUGAAAGAUAUUUUGUUAUGAGAAAAAAUUUCAAUGGAACAUUCACAAUUUUUUAAAUCAAAAUGGAGCUGCACAAUCGCUAAACUUACGACAUUUGAGUUAUGUUACAACUUACAACCUAGAGAAGGGGACUUUGUAGUAUGAUUUGCUCCUCUCUCGUUUCUCAUCUUAAAAAAUAUGCCGCCUGUACCUACUUCUUUAUGCUUAGAACCUACGCAAUUUAUCACCACUAACUCCCAGGGUCCUUCCUCCCCAGCCCCUCAAUCACAAGCACACGGGAACUCCUCCCAUGCCAUCGUUUACCGUCCGUCGUCGAUCCUGCUGCUACCAUCAUCUCUGCUUUCUAUCUCUCCCUUGCUCUUGAAAAGAAAUUAUAUAGAAUAUUCACAUGAUCAAUGGUUACGAUAGUGUUAAUAUUAACCAAUCAAUUUUUAAUCAUCAAGCAAACUCAUUUCUGAAGUAAUGAGUCUAACAUUGACAAAUGAAGAAUAAUACUAUAUAUAAAUAUUUAAAUUUAUUUGUCUCAACGAGGAUGAUUACACACACCUAAUUUUUUACCAACUUUUGAUUAUGAGUCACCGUAGUCAAGAUUUCGACUGACUUGCUCUGGAAAAGCUUUCCUACAACACCCCAUUUGAUUAAAUCGGAUGGUGAGAUCACUGAAUAUUGCAAUUUUUAAUUGCGACUGUCCGAUCUAGAUGGGGUUGGAAAUACAUCAUUUCUGCAAAUCGCUUAAUGAGAUCAUGUUAAUAUGGUCGUGAGCUUUCCAAUGCCUUGAGAAUCAAUCGAUUAGGGUUUCUUGAGGUAGAUAUCAUGCUUUUUCCAUUUCAAUCAUCGAAAUAGAUGUUAUAUAUAUUUGUGGAUGCGUUGGGUCAUAUGAAUAUUCGCGAAGAGUAGUAGGUAUCUGAUAAGCAAUCCACACUUACCAAGAAAAGGUCGAUCUAUUUAUAAAAUUAUCUUUUACUUCAUAUGACAAUGGUUUAGAGUAAUUGAUACAUACAAACUGAGUGACUGGCAGAAAAUAAUUGAUAGUCCAUCUCAAAGAGUUUCUAUGAAACUAGUUACUAGGAGCGCACAUGACAACAUUUUUAUUUUUCGAUUUCUUUGUUUUUUUGUUCCCUGGAACAAGUUUGGAACAGAAAUCCGUUUGGUAACACAAUUUAAUUUUUUUAUUUCUAAAACAAAAUUUUAUUUUAGAAAUAGAUUUGUAGUAGAAAUCAAAAGUUAAAAUUUUUAGUUUUUCUAUUUCUGGAACAAAAAUGAGAAAUCAAAAUUUUUUUCAUCGUUCACUCUCGUCACCACCCAUCGCCCACUAGCCGUCCGUGGGACGCUGAACGCCCACCACUCGCCGUCGCUCGCUGACCGCUGCCCACCGGACUUCGGCCGCCCGUCAUCGACCAUCCGCCAUCGGAUGCCCAUCGGUCGUUGGUUGCUCAUCACCAACCAUUGGACGCCGCAGGCCAACCGCCAACCACCAGACAUUGCCACCCGCCGUGUGUCACUUGCCACCGGUUGUUGGAUGUCGGCCGCCCGCCGCCGCUUGUUGGACUUUGGCCAUUGGCCACUGGCUGCCGGCUAUCAGACUCUGGACAUCGAACGCAGGACUUCGAAUGUUGGAUGCCGGUCGCCGGCUAGUCGAAUGCCAGACGCUGAACUCCGAACGUCGAAUACUGGAUGCCGGUCACCAACCACCAGACGCAAAAUAUCGGACUUCGAACGUUGGACGUUGGAUUUCGGCCACUCGCCAUUGAUUGCCAAACAUCGAACUCAAACCAUUGGACGCCGAUUGUUGCUGCUCCUAGAAAUAGAAAUUUAAUUCUUUUACCAAACGAAUUUUUAUUUUAGAAAUAGAAAUUUUGCAUCAUUAUCAAAUGCGUUUCUUUGCUUAGAAACUUGUCCAUGAAAUAGAAAUUAAGAAAUCAAUUUCUAUUUCAUAAAUUUUGUCAUGCACUAGUCAUCCCAAUAAUUGAUAAGAUCAUGCAAAUUUGAUAGUGAGCUUUGUAACGUUUUGAGAAUCACUUCCAUCAGAGUUUCUCUUCGCUAAACCAAAAAAGCAAUCAAUCUAUUUAGAAAAUUAUUAUUUACUAAAUAUAUCCGGGGUUCAGUAUAAUAAAGAUGCAUGUACAAACUAAAUGAUCGACAGACAAUUAUUGAUAGUCCAUCUCAAAGAGUUUAUGCAAAAACUAGUUAUUGGGUAUCUCAUUAUUAUUAUUCUCGUUCCCGAUUCUUUAAGUGAAUUUAUAAUUUGUUAAGGAUACAUCAUUGUACAUUGCCAGGAUAAGUGGGGACUUGUCCUACCACAGAUGGGAAAAUUAUCAAGAAAAAGUUGCCCGUAUGACGAGUUAAGUUGGGUGUCUCCAUCAACCAGAUGCAACCAAGAAGAACACGGAUGACGUGCCAAUUUUUUUAAUCUUUUACUUGAGAAGAAGACUAAUCUCUCUCACAUACCUACUGGUAGGAUUUUGAACAAAUGGCUCAAUCCACCAUCUGCCAUUGACUGGAGGAUGAGCUCUUCGCCCAGCAAAGACGGUCGGAGCCGGGAAUUACACAAGGCGGGGUGAGAUUCAAAAGGAAAAUUAACUUUUCAUGACGAGAUUACCCAUUAAGUUUCUGGGAUUAGUUAAAUCAUUGCAGCAAGUUUCGGAGGAUUUUUUGCAUUUAUGGAAUCUAAUGAAAUAGCUCCGGCAUUUGCACAUGUAGUUAUGAUAACAUACGGUGAAUUUGUGGACUGUAAACUUGAAUGAGAAAAAUAAGUAAAGUAUAACCACAGCUAAAAUUAGCGAGGAGGAUUAAAUUGGCAUAUCAUUAAGAGGUUUAUAACCAAAUUGGCAUUAUUGAAAAAUUUAGAAUUAAAUUGACAAAUUUUCAAAAGAUUUAAGAUUAAAUUAGUAUGAUUAGAAGGUUUAUAACUGAAUUAGUACUGUACAAUAAUUUUAGAACUUUUUGGACAAUUUUCCUAGAAAAAAAAAAGUAACUAUGUAAAUUGUCGAGUGGGUUCCGAUCAUGCAUCUUUUAUCACUUCCACAAUUAGAACACUAUAAUUCUCUCAAUCAUUUCGACCCCCAAAAAAAAAAAGAAAAAUCUUAAUUUUGAAUCUUAUGUACAUGUAGGGGUCUAUUUCCACGGCCCACACAACCUAAUACCAGCUCCUAUGAACCCCCACGCCUGCUCUUGGUCCUCGACAGGCCUUUUGCUUAUACUGACUAUCUCGUCACCCUCGCCGGCACCGGGCUGAGUGAGGCAUGAAUGCUUUAACAUAUGCCAUAAACCCCAGCUCCCGUCGAGACCACAACCUCUCGUUCCCCGUCAAAGUUUGAGACGGAAGAAGAUAAGACGAUCGAGUAUUUCAUACCUAACUGCUACUAAGAUGGACGAUUGAAAAGAAUCAAGACACCGUAAUCCUUCUGUCGUUAAGAAAUGUUUUCACCAUCAGCGGAGAGGUCCCACCAUCAAAGAUUCAAGACUUAGCAACGGAAGCGUCAUAUAUGACGGGCUGAAAUAGAAGGAAUACGGUGCGACGCUUUUUAACAUGCUGAUGUUUCUCACGAACACCAUACACUACAGAAGGGGAAAAGGAAGAAAACAGAGAAAAUGACGCCUAGACUUUAUGCCCAAACGAAGGAUUACAUAAUAGCCAUAAUAUUUAUUUACUAAAAGUCCCCAGACAUGGAAGCGCCACGUUAACUGGUGACAGAGACACCACAGACGAUUCACUCACUCAGCCGCUUCUCUGACCUCGUCCACGAAGGCCCUGAGGUUCUUGUCCGAUGACCCGCCUUCCUUCACGGCCUCCCUCGCCAGAUCCCUAAAUUUCUUGGCAUUCCUUCUCAUCUCAUUCCCCUCCUCUCCAUCUCCCACCACCAGGUCCAAGCACCUCUUCACCUCGCUGCUCUCCACCAGGCCUAGCUCGUUGGGCGUCAACUUCACCCCGGUCCUCCACACGUCCGCCAGGAGCUUCGCGUUCGUUUGCUGAUCGCUCCACUGCGGGAACGCCACCACGGGCACCCCGCAGACCAAGCUCUCUGACGUGGAGUUCCACCCGCAGUGCGUCAGGAAGCACCCCACUGAAGGGUGGGAUAGGACCGCCACUUGCGAGCACCACGGCACUAUCAUCCCUAGCUUAUCUAGUUCUUCUUGGAAGCUCAAUCUAUCCUCGUCUCUCUCUUCUUUCCCGCUUUCCCGAAUGAUCCACAAGAACGGCCGGCCGACCUCUACGAGCGCCCGCGCCAUUUCCUCCUUCUGCGGCUUUGAUAGCACGGAGAUGCUCCCGAACGACAGGUAGAUCACCGACGCUUUUGGCUUGGUGUCCAGCCACUCCAUGUAGCCGCUCGAGCUCUUGAAGAGAUCACCUCCGAAGGAAGUGUCCGAUGGAUCUUGCCCGUCCAAAAACGCGGACGGUAUCAGGGGCCCAAUCCCAAUUACCUC